GAUGAACGCUGGCGGCGUGCCUAAUACAUGCAAGUCGAGCGAACGGACGAGAAGCUUGCUUCUCUGAUGUUAGCGGCGGACGGGUGAGUAACACGUGGAUAACCUACCUAUAAGACUGGGAUAACUUCGGGAAACCGGAGCUAAUACCGGAUGAUAUUUUGAACCGCAUGGUUCAAAAGUGAAAGACGGUCUUGCUGUCACUUAUAGAUGGAUCCGCGCUGCAUUAGCUAGUUGGUAAGGUAACUGCUUACCAAGGCAACGAUGCAUAGCCGACCUGAGAGGGUGAUCGGCCACACUGGAACUGAGACACGGUCCAGACUCCUACGGGAGGCAGCAGUAGGGAAUCUUCCGCAAUGGGCGAAAGCCUGACGGAGCAACGCCGCGUGAGUGAUGAAGGUCUUCGGAUCGUAAAACUCUGUUAUUAGGGAAGAACAUAUGUGUAAGUAACUGUGCACAUCUUGACGGUACCUAAUCAGAAAGCCACGGCUAACUACGUG
rnacentral:rRNA from 1 species